rnacentral:rRNA from 1 species
GACGAACGCUGGCGGCGUGCUUAACACAUGCAAGUCGAACGGAAAGGCCCUGCUUUUGUGGGGUGCUCGAGUGGCGAACGGGUGAGUAACACGUGAGUAACCUGCCCUUGACUUUGGGAUAACUUCAGGAAACUGGGGCUAAUACCGGAUAGGAGCUCCUGCUGCAUGGUGGGGGUUGGAAAGUUUCGGCGGUUGGGGAUGGACUCGCGGCUUAUCAGCUUGUUGGUGGGGUAGUGGCUUACCAAGGCUUUGACGGGUAGCCGGCCUGAGAGGGUGACCGGCCACAUUGGGACUGAGAUACGGCCCAGACUCCUACGGGAGGCAGCAGUGGGGAAUAUUGCACAAUGGGCGGAAGCCUGAUGCAGCAACGCCGAGUGCGGGAUGACGGCCUUCGGGUUGUAAACCGCUUUCGCCUGUGACGAAGCGUGAGUGACGGUAAUGGGUAAAGAAGCACCGGCCAACUACGUG